rnacentral:lncRNA from 1 species
GCAAGGUUGCCCUCCUAGAGGAACAGAAGGGGUCAAGUCAGUGGAUGACCUCCUGGUGCUGACCAGGACGUUCCGGGUUAGGUCCCGUUCCCAAGAUGGCUGAAAGUGCAGUUAGGCUGGGUAUUAAGGUUUGAUGGAGCUUAGCAUAAGUGACUCCAUUUUGGGCCAGUAGUCUCCUUUUUAACAAUCCCCCCUUCUUGCAGCUUAACUGAGAGAUGUGGUCAAAAUUUAAGGCAUUGGUGCCACUCUCAGCUACCGCUUUGUAGCUCUCACAGCUUUUGUGACAUUUUGUUGAUCCUUUGUGUGGUAUUCACAGGUCGUGAUGCUUUUUUACAGCAUCUCUUGUGAAAUUUUGUUGAUCCUUUGUGUGGUAUUCACAGGUCAUGAUGCUUUUUUAUAAUAUCUCUGUAAUAUUCACAGGCCACGACUUCAGGUUCAAUUUUUAAAUCAGUUGUCCUCUUCGUCCCUUGUCUGAUGUUUCAGUCUUAGGUCAUUUGCUUGGCAGUUCGCUGCGAAGGUGCACUGAAAGCCUUUGAGAGAACGCAGCACACCAGGGAGACUAUGAGGAUUACAAGCAGGCUAAUUCCCCGGUUUGGAGGGCACUUUGGAGGCAUGGUCCCCAAGACCCAAACCAAUUAAAGUCAAAUAAGUCAAAGAAAGAUCCCGUGGAAGGAGACACCUUUUUAGCCAAGCAGCUUGCUCAGUAAUCAUAUGUGAGCCACUUCCCCCAGAAGUGUUAAUCCAGGUACUGCAGGUGGUGUUGGCCACAGCACAGACACCUCCUUGCUCGGCUAGAAGAUAAUCAAAGGCUAGCCUAUUAUCAAGAACUACUUUGGCGAGAGAGUCUAAGAUCUUUGUUGGGCAGCUAUUGUCUUAGUGGAGUCUGCAAUAUCUUCAAGAGUUAAGGAGAAGUUUCUGAUUGUAUUCUUAUUUACAUUUUCUUCUAACCAGGGAAGUAUGACCCUGCCAAAGGAAACAAAUCCUGAGUCAUGAAUGCCUCCUGGUUGCUGCCUCCGCAUGGCUAAUGAGUGGUAUAGGUCCACACCCGGGAUCUGCACCCUCGAACCCAGGCUGCCAAAGUGGAACAUGCCAAACUUAACUACUACGCCACAGGGCCAGCCCAUGAGAUAUACUUUACCAAAUUGCUGCCAGUCACAGAUAGCUUAAAAGAAA